rnacentral:tRNA from 1 species
GCAGCGGUGUUCAGUGGGAGAAGCCUCGCCUUCCACGCAGGAGACCUGGGUUCGAUUCCCGGCCAAUGCA